rnacentral:lncRNA from 1 species
AUGACUAAAUUACAGUGAAAACAACUUGCCUUUGUAAAGUAACUUAUAUAUUUCAAAGAGUCAUACAUGUUAUCUUAGUUAAUCCUUUUCACUAACUCUCUGAGGUAAACAGGACAAUUAUUUUUAAUAACAGAGAUGAAAAUAAAUUAAGCUACUUACAUAAAGUCAUUUUUAAUAUAAAACUAAAACAUUAAAAGGAUGGCAAUCACAUGCAAGGCUGCUCACAGCAUAAGAUGAUAGGGUAAAGCUUUUUGGAGGGUAAUUUCAGUAAUCAAAAUGCCAUUUGUAAAGAUAUUGACCUGCAGCUUUACUCCUAGGCAUCUAUUGUGCAGUAAUGCUUAUAUAUGUGCACAGAAACAUGAGCAGAGGUAUUUGUUAUGACGUGGGAAAUCAAGAAGCUGUAAAUUGCUGAAAGUACAUCAA